CCUUUGGCUUUGGUCACGUAUUUUCAUUACGUGUUUACUGUUUACCAAACACUGCCUCAGUUCGCGGAUCUAACGUUGGUUGUGACACUGUCACAAAGUCACUAACACACUCGUACACAGUACUCUCAGGGGAAUCUGUCGCCCUAGGACUCAGAUAGCGGUUCGUACGCCAGGAAGUAUUUGGCAAAAUCCAAGAAGAUGGUCUGAUUGAUAAUCAAUGCGUGCAGCUAUGUGGCUGACCGUAUCCUCAGCUUGUGUCGGAAAGACUCGGAGCAGGAGAAGGUCAAGCCCAUGAGCCAGCGCGGUUGUGCCGUGAGUGGAGGGCCUUCCUUGUGGAAGGGAGGUGGAGAAACAGAAACCUAUCAUCAACCACAAAGUACGCACAAUGGACAUUUUGUACCAAAUGAUGAGUUCAACCACAAGAGCAGUUUUCAAAAUGGAAAGAGCUAUAAUUAGUGUUUAAAUUAGGUAGUCACCCUUAGUUUCUGCUAGUCUUUCUCUCUCUUUCUUUUUCAUUCUCUAUCUAUGAUUCCUUCUCCCUCUGUUUUCUAUUCUCUCUCACUUUCUCUCCCCUCCACAGUCCUUUCUUUUAUUUCUGUCAGUUUGCCUUAAAUGCUAAAUUUUUUCCCCCUAUCUGUUAAGUUAACACACAUGAAUAUAUACAAACAUACAAAUCUGUUGCUUUCUUAAAGUUUCGUUUCAUAUUAUAGUCCACUGGUUCUUCACCAGAUUCUAUGUCAGUAGAUUGAAAAAACUAUCUUUUUUCGUGAACUAGGGUGCACAACCAUGGAUUGAAGUAAUAUGUGUGUCAAACAUUUUAAAACGCCAUUCUCAAACACUAAGGUUUCCUAGUAUCAAGCAAAAGCAGGACAAAUGCAACUGUCUUUUGCCAUGUGUCCUGAUGCUCUGGCUGUUUCUGAAAGUCUCUUGCGAAGUGCAUGAUGCCUUCAUUUGAAAUGAACCCACGCUGGGCUCAUGAGUGUUGGCUGAUAUAGAAGAAUUGUUUUUUCUCUUUGUCGAAGGGACUUUCACUGACGCUGCAACAUCGGGGCUCAAACAUUGACGGAAUAGAUGAUGAACAAACAUUUGUUCUGUGAAAGCGAAGGUGUUAUGUGUGAGUGUGUGUGUGUGUGUGUGUGCGCAUGUGUGUGUGCGCGUGUGUGUACUUCUGGUGUCAAUUUUUUUCUCAGUCUCUACUUGUUUAUUCCUGUUCGUGUGGGAGUUUUCAAAUGAAUAAUUUUGCAUGCUAUUGUUGUUACCCUGUGAUAUUAUGUUUAAGUGCUUCAACAUAUCAUAUGUGCUUAGAUAAAUGUUCUGCUGCUCCAGUUUUAUGUUCUGAUUUUCUACCUUUCAUAGAGCCGACCCUGUACUGAAGAAUGAUUUACGACCUUUUCAUUCAGAGAAUUAAUCUUUUCAUUAACAUUUAUGGCUAUUUUUAGAUCUGUUGUAUUUUUUUUUACAGCGACUCUGUAUUGAUUUUUGUCCUGGUUUUAUUUUUAUAUCUUUUUUAUUCCACUUACUUUGCCUGAGCAGGUGUUUAGGUAAAGUGAUAUUGGUUGAGGUCUGAUUUUUUUUAUGUGUGUGAUUAACAUAAUAUUUUUGGACACACAGAAAUGGUUUCAUGUUUCUAACUUGCAGUUGUCAAAAGUUCAACUGUUUUAAAAAUAAAAGAGUACAAAGGGUUAAUAUGUUUUUAUAGAUUUGAGGGAUUUUAUAACUGAUUCAUUUCUCAAGGAAAGAAAGUUCUUUGUAGUGUUUUUUACCUUGUUGUAGGUUUUAGCAAGAAAUGAAGCAGAUUUGUUUAUUUAUUGAGUUUAAAUGAUUACUCAUAACUUACUUCUGAAUCUGUAAACAUUUUAAAAAUUCAUUUUUAAAUUUAUUUAAAUAGAAUUGAGUGGGUUUUAGGUUGUAAGUAACCUUUACUAAUAUAUUUGUUAACUACUUUUUAAAAUAAAUAUCUACCAGUUUGCUAAAUCAAAAAAUUCAUCUCUUAAUAUUGUCCGUCCUAGUUGAUGUGUAUGUUCUAUAGGAAGGCAUUUUCUCAUGGGAAAGAUUUCAAAUUCUUUAUGGGAUAACCAUUUUUUGUGGCAGCUAAAUUUGUCGUGAAGAAGUGAAGUAUGAUAAGAGAAAGUGGCCAGCUUCUUUUUUCUUCACUUGUGACAUGUUAAAAUUGUUACAAGUCAGAAGAUGGUUGUUUUCUUCUUGUUUUCUUCAUUCUGGCCUGAUAGCUGUUUAGUUUUCUCUGAACCUGAUUACUGCUGUUGCUAGGUAUAUUAUAUAUCAUUGGCUUCUUUCCACUAUCGCUCAAAUCAAUUUCUGGGCCAUGGGGGUUUCCAGAUAAAGCCAUUAUUUGAAUUAUAAAUAUAAUAAUAAUAGCUCAUCCGUCAAUGUCUGACGAUGACCGAUAUAUCCACAGAGAAGUAUGUUUCUCCAGCAAAAUAGAAAAAUUAGAAGAAUCCGUUAAAAUGACUUUUGACUUUUGCUAUGGCCAAUGAGACCAAUUCUGACAGAGAAAAGUUUGUCAUAUUUUGAACGGUUGAAAUCUCCACUUCCACUUGUAGAUGUGCGCAGUUUGCAGGGUUCUCUCACGGUUUCAGCGUUUCUUAUUCAUGAAGCCUCACAUUUGAAUAAAUAUGUCAAUGGGUGUCUUACAAUACGAUUUCGUCCCAUUUUGUUAUUUCCUUCCUUGCCUUUAAUUUUUAAAAUAACAAUGACCAAGUCAUAAUUUUGAUUUGGGUUCUCUUUUUUUCUGGAAUAUUUUCAAAAUUUACAAAAAGGACUAAGGCGCUUGUGGAAUGCCGUUGAUGAUAUGUGUAUAUCGUAGCUAUUGCAAGAAAAAAUGAGUAGCUUCAUUGGGUUUUUUUCUCACUCAGUACUGUGAGAUUGAACUACAGAGUUACUUAUUGUCCUCUCUACGAUGGUGAUAUAUGUACACUAUCGAGCAUGAUCAGGUCGUCAGGAGCGAGACAAGAUUUCAGAAGGUUUGAGGAAAUCCUGGUGUUAGCUUGCCAGGUUUGCGUUUUGUUCUCAGGAACAAGAGGAGAAGUUGCUGCUGUUUUCGUCAUUAGUCAUGUCGUCACAUUCUUAUGUUGUAAACCAGAGAAAAAUGCGAGCUCUACUAAUCAAAUGUUGUACCUCUCAAAACAGAAUAAAACAUUGACGUUGUCAUCCUAAUGU